GCUCAAGUUCCAAACGUGAUGACCCGAUUCCCGAUCUACUUCUAAAGGAAGCCUAAAGAACAAAACGCUUGGUUGAAGUGUGAACGAAGGAACUCUUACGGCGUCGGAAAAGACUUACCCGAUGGCGGCUGCGAAUGAAACCGAGGUUUUCGUCGAUUCUAUCUUCGCUUGCGACGACGCUCAUUCGCUUAUGGCGUGUUCACGUUGAGUUGCAAUUACAAUGGGGCGAUGACGAAGAACGGUGAUGAGCGAGGAGCGUCACGUUGAAAGCGAAAAAUGCGCAGUGAAUCGAGGUACUUACGUCUUGGUAAUGCUUCUUAUAAUGAUGGAAAACAAAUUCGAAUUCACGGAGCAACUUCCGCCAAAACACUACGGCGUAAGCUUCCACCAAAUUCCAACAAAUCGAAUCCAUUAUCGUCCUCAAUAAAUCGACAUUGUUGAAUCCGAUUGAAGCUCCGUCCUGGCGAAUACAGGGUCAAGAUCUUGUUGCAGAAAAGAAAUCCUGGAAGCAUAAUAAAGCAGAAGCUAGAAAUGGAAGUUUUUAGAUUCUUUCUUCUUCCCUUCUACAACUAUUUUGAUUCCUUCCUUCUUCAAUCUCCUUUUUCUUCACUUUCUAUUUGUAAUUCACGGUGUGGGAUUGGUGUGUUAUGUCUGUCUGUUUCUGUUGUUGUUGGUGUAGCAGUGGAUGAUGGGUACGUCGUGGUGACACGGUUAGGGUAAGGAAGUGAACUUCGGUUCAGUUUCCAUGGUUAUUCCCAAUUGGAAGUUGAAGAUUGAACCAUGUUAAGGAUUGUGGAGUGGGUUGGGAUUGGAGGUGAAGUUAGAAAGGUGAAGCAUAUUUGCAGAAGAUGAAGGAUUGAAGGGAGUGGAGAACAAGUGAAAAGAUCGAAAAAUAUGAACCCUGCAGUGAGGGAUGCCUUAUAUAGCACUUCUCAAUCUGUUAGGUUUCCAAUCCUUCUCCAUUCUGUUAGAGUUCCCUCCUUCCUCUAGUUCUGUUAACAGUUUAAAUUGUUGAAUUCGGUUGAGUCAGUUAGAGGUUAAAAAGUUAGUUGAAAAUUGGAUUAAAAAUUUGUUAUGGUUUA